UAAAGGAUGGGGAUCUUUAGGAGAGGAGAGAGAUUUUUUAUCUGUAUAUGGGUUUAUAUUUUAAUUUUAUUUAUAAUAAGGGGGCUUUUUAAAUAUUAAAAAAUCGACCAAAUUAUUUACAAGAUGUAGCAAAACUUCACAAAUUCGGCAAUGCCCAACUCCAACCCACUGAAAUACCAAAAAAACCCAUCUCACACGCAAAAAACAUCCCCAAUCUACCGGCAUGACCCAACACACGGUUAAACGAGAACCACGUAACGAUUUUUCCAUCCAAUGCAUGCAUUAACAAUUCAUCUUCAUUUCUAUCAUUCCAAUUUUGAAUUCUCCUCUAUUCUUCUUCUUCUUCUUCUUCUUCUUCUUUUUCUUCUUCCACUGUUGUUGCUUCUUGCUCUUCUUCUACUUUUGUUGUCGUUGCUUCUUGCUCUUCUUCUUCUUCUUCUUAAUUCUUCUUCAGUCGCCAUUAUUACUCCUUCUUCGUCUAUCUUUUAUCGACGCCACUGAAUCUUAUAAGGAUUUAACAAAUCAACUACAUCAGUAACUACUAAACUCUUUAAAUUUAUAACUCUUUUCUUUUCUUCUCAUCAAUCUAUUAGCGGUCAUAGUUAUUAAACCUAAUUUUUGUUCAGUGUUCAUAGUUAUUAAAUCUAAAUUUUAUGAAUAGAUGGUAAGUAACAUUAAAAGGAAAAUGGUCAAAAGUGAAUCAUUAGGCAAAGUAAAUAAAAUAACUACUGAAAACAAGAAGAAGAAUUAAAACCAAAGGUAUAAAUGUUAAUCAUAAACUUGUGAUAGAUGGUGAUACUGUUCUACCACUAUCUGUCUGAGAUAGAUAAUGAUAGCAUCCUAUUACCGUCUAUCGCAGAUAUAUGGUGAUAAAGAACUAUCACUAUCUAUCUGAUAUAGACAACGAUGACGUUUUAUCACUGUCUAUCGGAGAUAGAUAACGAUAGCAUUCUAUCUCAUAUAGACAGCGAUAGAAAACUAUCACUGUCUAUUGCGAUAGAUAGUGAUAAUCCUCUACCACUAUCCAUCUCAUUAUUAAGUAAGUUUCUUACUGUCUAUCAUAUGCAUAUGCCUGCAGGAAGUUGAAUGUUGAAGAUGUUGACGUUGAAAAAGAAGAAGAUGAAAUCGAAAAAGAAGUUGAAGUUGAAAAGAACUAUAGAAGAUGAAGUCGAACCAGACGUUGAAGUUGAAGUUGACGAAUAUGCUAAAGUAGACAUUUAUCUAUGUCUAUCACAAUGAUAAAAGUUCUCCUACCACUUGCUUAUAGAAGUUCACCUUCCGCUUGCUUGUGAUAGAUACUGAUAGUUCACAGUUUUUAAUAGAAGUUUGAUUGUUUUUCUUCAAAUUUGCAUUAGAACGAAGGUGUGAGGUUUUAUUAGUGUAUAUAAAUGAACUUAUAUCAAUAGUUUAUUUGAUAGACUGUUUGUCUU